rnacentral:rRNA from 1 species
ACACUCCUGCGGGAGGCAGCAGUGGGGAAUAUUGCACAAUGGGCGCAAGCCUGAUGCAGCCAUGCCGCGUGUAUGAAGAAGGCCUUCGGGUUGUAAAGUACUUUCAGCGGGGAGGAAGGCGAUAAGGUUAAUAACCUUGUCGAUUGACGUUACCCGCAGAAGAAGCACCGGCUAACUCCGUGCCAGCAGCCGCGGUAAUACGGAGGGUGCAAGCGUUAAUCGGAAUUACUGGGCGUAAAGCGCACGCAGGCGGUCUGUCAAGUCGGAUGUGAAAUCCCCGGGCUCAACCUGGGAACUGCAUUCGAAACUGGCAGGCUAGAGUCUUGUAGAGGGGGGUAGAAUUCCAGGUGUAGCGGUGAAAUGCGUAGAGAUCUGGAGGAAUACCGGUGGCGAAGGCGGCCCCCUGGACAAAGACUGACGCUCAGGUGCGAAAGCGUGGGGAGCAAACAGGAGUAGAAACCCCAGUAGUCCCAUGA